GGCAAGGGGCUGAGCAGAGGGGGGUCCGAUGCCAGUUGCUUAAAAAUGCCCCUGUAGCAUCAAGAGGUGCCAGAACCGAGUCAACUUAGUUGAGAAGCAGUGACACCCACAACCAUACCCCAAAUAAGCUGAGCCUCUACCUCCGAAGAGUCCUCCCUGGGCCAGACAACAGCCAAGGUGAGAGUGAUGGCUAGUCAAAUCCCCCACUACGCUGGAGAAUGAGGAGCCCCAGAGAGAAAUCCUCCCGAGAACCAGAAAAAUGGACAGCGGUGGCCUCCUGCUCCCAGAUCUCCUCCCCUCCUCUCAACCCUCCCUGGAGCUUCCCAACAGACAGAAGCCAGAGAUUCCCCUAGCCCGGAGACAUUUUCUGAAGACGUAGGAAAAGGAGAAAAAGUGGGACACCCCCUGCAGCAGGCCUCCGAGAUGCAGAGA